rnacentral:rRNA from 1 species
CCUACGGGAGGCAGCAGUAGGGAUCUUCCGCAAUGGACGAAAGUCUGACGGAGCAACGCCGCGUGAGCGAUGAAGGCCUUCGGGUCGUAAAGCUCUGUUGUCAGGGAAGAACAAGUAUCGGAGUAACUGCCGGUACCUUGACGGUACCUGACCAGAAAGCCACGGCUAACUACGUGCCAGCAGCCGCGGUAAUACGUAGGUGGCAAGCGUUGUCCGGAAUUAUUGGGCGUAAAGCGCGCGCAGGCGGUUCCUUAAGUCUGAUGUGAAAGCCCCCGGCUCAACCGGGGAGGGUCAUUGGAAACUGGGGAACUUGAGUGCAGAAGAGGAGAGCGGAAUUCCACGUGUAGCGGUGAAAUGCGUAGAGAUGUGGAGGAACACCAGUGGCGAAGGCGGCUCUCUGGUCUGUAACUGACGCUGAGGCGCGAAAGCGUGGGGAGCGAACAGGAUUAGAUACCCUGGUAGUCCACGCCGUAAACGAUGAGUGCUAAGUGUUAGAGGGUUUCCGCCCUUUAGUGCUGCAGCAAACGCAUUAAGCACUCCGCCUGGGGAGUACGGCCGCAAGGCUGAAACUCAAAGGAAUUGACGG